rnacentral:rRNA from 1 species
AGAGUUUGAUCCUGGCUCAGGAUGAACGCUAGCGGGAGGCUUAACACAUGCAAGUCGAGCGGGAAGGGUAGCAAUACCCUGAGAGCGGCGCACGGGUGCGUAACGCGUAUGCAACCUGCCUUAUACAGGGGGAUAGCCCAUGGAAACGUGGAUUAAUAUCCCAUAGGACUUAUUGAUCGCAUGGUUAAUAAGUUAAAACUACGGUGGUAUAAGAUGGGCAUGCGUCUGAUUAGGUAGUUGGUAGGGUAACGGCCUACCAAGCCGACGAUCAGUAGGGGUUCUGAGAGGAUUACCCCCCACACUGGUACUGAGACACGGACCAGACUCCUACGGGAGGCAGCAGUGAGGAAUAUUGGUCAAUGGGCGAGAGCCUGAACCAGCCAUCCCGCGUGCAGGAUGACGGCCCUAUGGGUUGUAAACUGCUUUUCUGCUCCAAGAAACCCACUUACGUGUAGGUGGUUGACGGUAGAGUAGGAAUAAGCAUCGGCUAACUCCGUGCCAGCAGCCGCGGUAAUACGGAGGAUGCAAGCGUUAUCCGGAUUCAUUGGGUUUAAAGGGUGCGCAGGUGGGAAUGUAAGUCAGUGGUGAAAUACUGCCGCUUAACGGUAGAGCUGCCAUUGAUACUGCGUUUCUUGAGUAUGGUUGAGGUAGGUGGAAUGUGUUGUGUAGCGGUGAAAUGCAUAGAUAUGACACAGAACGCCGAUUGCGAAGGCAACUUACUAAGCCAUUACUGACGCUGAGGCACGAAAGCGUGGGUAGCGAACAGGAUUAGAUACCCUGGUAGUCCACGCUGUAAACGAUGUUCACUCGCUGUUUGCGAUACACAGUAAGCGGCUGAGCGAAAGCAUUAAGUGAACCACCUGGGGAGUACGAUCGCAAGGUUGAAACUCAAAGGAAUUGACGG